rnacentral:misc_RNA from 1 species
UCUCCGUAGGUGAACCCGCGGAGGGAUCAUUACAAGUGACCCCGGUCUUACCACCGGGAUGUUCAUAACCCUUUGUUGUCCGACUCUGUUGCCUCCGGGGCGACCCUGCCUUCGGGCGGGGGCUCCGGGUGGACACCUCAAACUCUUGCGUAACUUUGCAGUCUGAGUAAACUUAAUUAAUAAAUUAAAACUUUUAACAACGGAUCUCUUGGUUCUG